rnacentral:rRNA from 1 species
UUCAUGGAGAGUUUGAUCCUGGCUCAGGACGAACGCUGGCGGCGUGCCUAAUACAUGCAAGUCGAGCGGACCGACGGGAGCUUGCUCCCUUAGGUCAGCGGCGGACGGGUGAGUAACACGUGGGUAACCUGCCUGUAAGACUGGGAUAACUCCGGGAAACCGGGGCUAAUACCGGAUGC